UGCAACAGCUUGGGAAGGACAAAAGAGGAGGUCGCUGGUAGAUGACGGGGGAGCAAGCAAGGACUGAUGGCAUCACUUCACCGCUACCCGUUUCUCAACUUUUGCUUUACACGGCACUAUUUCGACAGCCAAGAUGAGUGCUCUACUCUUACGGUUCAUGCUAACUGAACUGGUGAUGUUUCUUUCUUCACCUCGAUUGACGCCACAUGUUCCCCCUGGUUGCCGUGUCGUCCUCGUCUUCGGCUUGCAAGGGACUGGAUCUGGUGUGAUUGAUUCUUCCUCUCGCAAGCGCAUAUGCGACAAAUUCACAAAUUUAUAAUUUUGACGUACUGCUGAAGGUAGAGGGACAAAAAUUGAAGAUCCAAAUGAGCGACUCAAAUUCAGGAUUUGAGUUACCAAUGUAGUGUCUACGACUGGCUGAUGGUUCAAGAGUUCGAAGAAAGUCAAGCAGAAGGGAAUACUACACAUGCCCACGCUGCUAUAUGCCAAGGUGCUAGAGGCCACAUAUUGGGCAGGAGAUUUCGUAUGGUGUGCAAGUGCUAGAGGCUACAUAUUGCUGGAAGGUGCUCAAUUCACAUUAGGACAGCCCACCCCCAAGAAGAAAUUAAAACAGAGAUUAUUCACUUUGUGAAGAUCAAUAACAAUGAGGAGCAGGUGCCGGCAGCUGAGGCGUGUUUGUCUGGUACACACGAGCCAAUUUCUCCUGUUAGGGUGGACGACAUGCAAGCAGCCGCGAUGACGGACAGGCCGCUCUCGCACCACCAGACUCCCUUCAGGGCAGUUACCCACGGGCACGUACUUUUGCCGUUUAUUUUUACUUGUGAUUCCGCUCGUUGUGAACGUGGCUCGAUCCAUGUUGUGGCCCAGUUAUUAUUUUUGUUUUGUUUCGAUGGAUCGUCUUGGCUUGCUUUUGGCCUGAAGUUGUUGCCUUGCUUUUGGCACACCUGAUUCCACUACCUUUUGUUGUUGCUUGGACCAGUUUCUAUGUAAUGAACAUAUUUAUAUCAAUGUUGUGCUUCUGUUAUAAUCUUGCUAUAUUACACUGGUGAUUUUCGGUGAUUACUCUGAUUUCUACUUGCUCCAGUGAGUAUUUACACGGUCAUACUCAUGUUGUAUAAUUCCUUUGGCUAAAUUGUAUAAUUCUGACAGGUUCAUACAUCAUGUUAAGGAGUAUUAAGUUAUAGCACGCUUACUUAGGUUCUUUGGCAUGUUAUUCAUAGGGUUAUCAAGUAGGUCCUAAUAGGGUUACUCACAGUAUUAAGUUAGGGAUUGAACUUGUGGCGGUCCAAUAUCAUGCUAUUGUGUAUAUUUGCAAUGCUUUGGUCACUGUGUUAUCGUUACUGGAUUGGAUAUGACUUUUACCCGGCAGCGGUGCUGCCUGGUGCGGCAAGCCGCACUUCCUAUCUAGUUAAGAUGCAUCAAACCGUCAUCCCCUCCAUGAGGAAGGGCCAACUCAAGCAGGUAUUACAUCCAUUUGUUUAAGCAGUAAAUUCAGAAAUCUGAAUUGAACUAACUGAUUUGGCUUAUGUUCUGUAAAUGCAGCAUCCAUGUACAAGAAUUUCUGUAAUGUAGAGAAUAAUCUCUUCUUUGUUAAUAAUAGUUUUAUAUAACAUCACUUAUAUCAGGUCAAGUAGCCUCUCAUAAUGAAAUACUGCAUUUUUUGUAGAUCUCUCUCAAAAUGAUUGUUUACAGAUAAAAUUAUUUGUAGAGAUGGAGGACCUCGUAACCGACCAUGUUGGGAGCUUGUGAAGAAAUAGUAUGUUGCUGUAUGGAGGAAUCCUUUAAAUAACUCAUGCUACAUGAGUCAGUGAUCCUGAGGCAAACCUCCACUUUGUGAUAGUGAUGAUAAUUCCAGAUAAUGUUUGGUAUUUUUUAACCCAUCUAAUCUACUUUUAUUAGUUAAGCCUUAAUUUGUUUUGAACAUUUGCAAUAAUACUAAAUUCAUAAAGAUGAUCUUUACGGUUUAAAUAAACUGUCUAUGAUUUUUCUAGAAUUGUUCUGAACAUUGGCAUAAUUAUACAUUCAUCUCUUGCGGAGUAGUCUCAUGAUUUUGACUUAUUUUUUGCUUGUUGGCGAUUCCUAAAUGUGUGAUACUGAUACAUAUUGCAGUUUCGUUUCAGAUGCAACCUUCAACUAUAGAGGUUUCAGUUUCCUGAUGGCCGAUUUCUUCUUUGCGAGUCUUCCUUUUCCUUAUGUUCACAAGGUGUACAAUUGUCUAUAGUAUUUGCCAAGUUUAAUCUAAUGUCUAGAUAAAAUGUUUUGCAUGGCAGGAAAUAAGCAAGUAGGUAUUUGAAGGUGAACUUUAUAUGAAUCCUCCCGCUCCGGCCUACCCAUUCUUCAAUGAGUUAGUAUCCUCAAGUCACGAUGUAUCAAUUUUGACAUGCAAGACGUUAUGAUAAAAUAGAGGAUGUGGACUGACCA